rnacentral:pre_miRNA from 1 species
GAGGGGAGUGCAGGAUCUUGGGCUGAGUCCCCCGGCGCCCUGGCAUCCAGGGUCUGCGCUGCUGGAAUCGUGCUCCCGGGGCGCGCAGCCCCCU